AGAAUCAACGCUGGCGGCGUGCCUCAGACAUGCAAGUCGAACGAUUAAAGCUCUCUUCGGAGAGUGUAUAGAGUGGCGCACGGGUGAGUAACACGUAAGUAAUCUACCCUCGAGUGGGGAAUAACGUCCGGAAACGGACGCUAAUACCGCAUAAUGCAGCGGCACCGCAAGGUGACAGUUGUAAAGAUUUAUCGUCUUGAGGAGGAGCUUGCGGCAGAUUAGCUAGUUGGUAAGGUAAUGGCUUACCGAGGCUACGAUCGUGUAACCGGUCUAAGAGGACGGUCGGUCACACUGACACUGAA
rnacentral:rRNA from 1 species